UGUGUGUGUGUGUGUGUGUGUGACCAUGUGUGUGGGUGUGGGUGUGUGUGUGUGGGUGUGUGUGGGUGUACUUCUCUGUUUUUGGCUGAUGUAGUUGUUGGUGUUGAUGGUUCGGUGAAGUUUGUUAUAGAACGUGAUAUGCUUUGAUUGUUUUGUCAUUCUGAGAGACAGUUCUGAGAAUGUGGUUUUGAGUUGUGUACAGGUAGUUUUGAGUUGUGUACAGGUAGUUUUGAGUUGUGUACAGGUAGUUUUGGUCUGUCAGCUGCGGCUGUUUAUAAUGGUCUGUGGGCCGCUGUCGGGGGAAGAGUGUGUGAGGCAUCGUGGGAAAAUCAGGCGCUCGGAGAAACGAUGAAAUCAGGCGCUCGGAGAAACGAUGAAAUCAGGCGCUCGGGGAAACGAUGAAAUCAGGCGCUCGGAGAAACGAUGAAAUCAGGCGCUCGGAGAAACGAUGAAAUCAGAGAAUCAGGCAUUUUUCCGUUGGUUGAACAUUUUUUAAACUGAUUUUUAGAGGGAUCAAUACCAUUUUCUGCCCUUGUGAGACCAGAUUUCUGCGUAGAUUUUACUGGUAAAUGUUGAUCAACGCCACAGAAAAUGUAAAUUUGCAGUACGGUAUCUUUGAUCUUUGGAAAUCCCCAAACUUGGGCUGCCAUAUUCUUGUUUAUUUUUACCGUUUACUCUACACGAUCCUCGCCUGAUUCUGUCACAAAUGUCGAGACCUUUAUUCCAGAUAGUUGGGUAUAUUAUUGUCUUCAAAACCAAGGGGGAAAAAUAACAAGCUUUAAGAUGACACCAAUAUAAUCAAUAUAAUAAAGUCCAUAUGGGCAAAAAUUGAUUCCAGCGUGUCUUGGCAGUGAGACACAUUGGUUUGGCUGUUGUGUCUGGCCUGUUUAUUUGUGUCAUAUGGAUGACCUUGAGGGAAAAAUAAAAUGUGGGGAAAGUC
rnacentral:lncRNA from 1 species